ensembl:lncRNA
UUUUUUUUUUUCUUUUUUUCUUUUUUUUUUUUUCUACGGAAAGAACAGUAGUAUUGGUGCUGGCAUUUAACGUUUUCACAAAAUGCUUUAAUUCUGGAUGAGGUGAAACACACAGAAGAGCCAGUGGUUUCGUACCUGACCCAUUAAAAGCAGCAACCGCUCCCUUAACUCUGAGUAAUAAUCCCGCAUCCGUUCCUCACCCGUUUCAUCCCAUAACGCAACACGCAAAGAUGCUGAGCCUUUUAACCUGCAGCACACCUACAGCUGUUAUGCUUUCCAUUGGAGAAAUACCCCUAAAACAACAGAUCACCACUCUUCUUUCAGUGCCAACAUAAAUGUUCCCACAGCACUCACAUGCGCGCCCCUUCAUUCCGCAGAAUGGCAACCCAGGCGGGCAAAGAACCAGCACUGAGCUGCUUUAAGGUUGGAGUACUGGGAAGGAAAGGACCUGUGAGAGAUUUUUGGACUAAAAGCAUGAAAAGCUUUUAUUCUUCAACUUAAAUCUGUAUAGAUGCACCAGAAUACCCCCAUGAAUGCAAAAGACCUCCGUCAGUUGCUGCUCAUGGAGAUACGUCACUUUCUCCACACAGCAACCAAUGCUGACAGUAUUCUGGUGGGAGGGAUGGAGGUUCCAAGAAAACAUGCCCCAGUAACAGAGAAGAUGAGGGUGACAGUAAAUGUUCUGAUUUUCACUUCUUUCUCUGGCUGUUUCCAGGUGUAGCAGAGGUAACAUUGCUGAAUAGGAGAAAUAUGGAUAAAAUAGACUUGGGUUAUAACCAAGUUUGAACCAAUGGGACCGAAAGGCACAUAAAUCAGGGUAUGAUUAGUCUAUUAAUUUUAAUAUAUUUGCAACAUGUCUUGCUUUAUUCAGCCCAUGUUGUAGGAUUAAUCUGACCCAUAGGCCUUUUUAAUACCCGUGCUUGAUAGCAUGUGAGGGAACAGCCUCAAGAGAGGCUGCACCAGGUUUGGCAGUUCAGGCAGUUCACCUGUGGUUCAGGUUGGAUAUGAAGAAGAAUUUCUUCUCAGGGAGAGCAGUGAGGCAGUGGCACAGGCAGCCCAGGGAGGUGGGGGAGUCACCGUCCCUGGAGGUGUUCAAGAACUGUGUGGAUGUGGCACUGAGUUGCACGGUUUAGUGGUAUAGUGGUGAUGGGUUAAUCGAUCAAUUAGAUGAUCUCAGUGGUCUUUCCAACCUUAAUGAUGGUAUGAUUAGAUUUGUCUAAGGGACUGAAGGGAUUUUAACAAUUUAGACAGAGGUGGGCUACGAGGUACCGCACUGAACCGAGGGCAAAUUACAGAAAACAAAAGAUCAACAAAUCCAAACCAGAGAGAGAUCUCAUCACUGACUCGGCAAGGAGGGACAACCGAUUGUCACAGUUUCUUUUUACACUGUAAACUCUGACCCAAAACUCAUACUCGGGCUAGACAAGACAGGAGCAGUUAGGGCAGUUAGAGAUGGGUGGGACGAUGCACGGGGUUGCCACGCCGGGGUUCCGAUCACGGCAACCAGCCCACCAAAACCAACACAAAACUCUUCGAAGCGCUCUUGCGAGGGUCAACAAGUGAGGAGAGCGGACCAAGAGCUGUCUUUGCUGCUGCCGCUUGGCACCACAUUUGGCAGAGAUGAUCAACAGCCUGCAGUAUGACAUCGACGAGCUGUGCUUCAGGGUAAUGCGGCUCAGCCUUAACACCAGGCACGCAAAUACACCCGACAGCACAGACAAGCGGUGUGAGCAGACUGCAGAGGGAAAAGAGCGCUCAACAGAGAAAGGCUGUUCAAAGAGAUGCUCGGUGGAGAAGGCAGAAGAUCAGCCACCACGACAGCACAGCCAACAUCCACGGCCACCUGGGCAGAAGCGGAAGCAAUACAACGACAGCCCAGAAAAUGACAUCAGCCUUGGGGACAACAGUGCAGGCAAAUUGGAUGAGGAAUUUGUCCCAGUGGCCAAGAAGAGGUGCAGAGGCUUGCCUGCAUUCCAACCAUCUGUGCAUGCAAAUAGCCUCUCCUGCAGCAGCUCAAACAAGGCUCAGCUGAGCUGUGCUUCAGCUCCACCUCUUGCCGCCCAACAUCACACAGGGCAAGAAAGCUGCCAGGCAGAAGGUCCCAGCACGGGCAAAAAGGACAGGUUCCAGCCUGAACCUCUGCUACCCAAACCGGCAGAGAGGGAAAAACCAUCAGGCAAACGCAAGUGCAAGACAAAACACCUCAAUGUGCAGGGGAGCAGGAAAAGAUCAUUUCUGGCAAUGGACGACCCCUUCGCCAUCGAAGACACCCUAGACAUGGUCGCAGUGCCAAAAAAGAGGAUGAGAUUAGCAGAGCCCAUUUUACAUCAUGGCUCCUCCCCUGCCAUAACCAACCAGCAGAGGCUGCACAAGCAGCUGCAGCAGCCCCCCUCUCUGCCGACCCUCUAGCCUGCCCUGCUGCAUCUUAACACAGGAUGCCUCUUUACCUACCACAGCCAUUUUGGAAACCUGGCAAGUUCUGCAGAACUUCAAAUGCCUGCCUGUAGAAACUCUGCCUCAGGUAUUUGUGCAUGACUGAAAACAACAGGUUAUGUCAGCGGACGAUGUCACUUUCACUGCAGGGCCACCGUGCUGCAUUGGUGAUCCACUCUUUUUGUGUGGCAAAGAACAGCGCAGUAUUAUUUCUAUGACUUAAAACUGUUAAACUUCUGACAUUUGGCCGGUCAAAGUACACUACAGACUGUAGGAGAAAAAUAUCUCCGAACUUCACAUAGAAUGUAGUUUGAGUUAUUAGCAAUUUGUUCCUUAGCACCAAUACUUUUCAGACGUAGUCUCAGAACAUUACAAGUCAAUUCUUUCAUUAAAUAUUAGGGUAGUGGAAUGAACUGUAAGCGGUGUAUAUAAAUGUAAGUGUGUGUAUAAAUGUCUAGGUAUUUAUUUAGAUAAACUUGAAUAGCAAAUUUAGUUGGUUGAUGUUUGUAUAGAAGACCUUCUACUCUUGUAUGUACUUCUGAGUUUUUUCUUUCAUUGAAGCUGUUCUGAAAAGCCAGUAACUUCUUAUUUUAUUGAAUAAAAAUUUAAUAUU